AAUAUAUAUAUAUAUAUAUAUAUAUAUAUAUAGGGUUCGGCUACUAUACUAUUAUGAGUACGAUCGCCCUCGUAUUCAUAAGUUGUUUUCGAUGAUAGAGUUUCCGAAUCGACGAUCCACACCGUUAAACGUUAUUUACAGUAUUUAAAACUUCUAGAAAUCAAAUUUUAUCAUUUUUCGACAUCAUUUACCUAACGAUCAAGAGGUCACAAAUUUGACAACUUUUAACAGCCGGUAUGGAAUACUUGCUACUUUAACGGUGUAAAAGAAUCGAAAUUUGUUGAAUUUUUAAUAGAAAAUUCUAUUCACUACAUAGAUAAAGAUCAAUAACUCUGAUCUUGAAUUGAAUGAUCCGAUCAUCCUUUUUAGGACGUCGUUUGAUUUUGACUGUUCAUUUUAUGCCCAUUUGAUAGACUUUAUUAUGAUUUCGAAAAUUUACGAAAUUAUUUUCUAGAAGUUUCGAAUACUCUAGAUCAUAUUUAACGGAGUGGAUUGUCGAUUCAGAAACUCCAUCAUUGAAAAUAACUUAUGAGUACGAGGGCUUCAAUACUCAUAAUAGUAUAGUAGCCAUGGCCUAUAUAUAUAUAUAUAUAUAUAUAUAUAUAUAUAUAUAUAUAUAUAUAUAUNUAUAUAUAUAUAUAAUUAGGCUACUAUACUAUCUAUAGUACCGGAGCUCCGGUACUAUAGUCUUAUUUUCGAUUUUAGAGAGUUCAAAUUAAUGAUCUACACCGUUAAAUAUGAUCUAGAGUAUAUGAAGUUCUUAGUAAUAAAAUUUUAGUUUUUUUCGACAUCGUUUACUUAGUAAAUAAAUUAUGUCAAAAUAGACGGUGAAAAUUGAAUAAUCUUUAAAAUUUGAGUAUAGGACUUUUAAAUUCAAGAUCAAGAAUGUUAAUCUUAAUAUAGAUAGUUUAAAGUAUUUUCUAUCAAAAUUUGAAGAAAUUUAGAUUCUUCUACACCGUUAAACUCAAACUCACUAUAGUAGCCAUUGAAAAUUGACAAUUUUAAAAUGAUUUGAUCAUAAAGUAAACUAUGUCGAAAAAAUAUAAAAUUUUAUUUCUAAAAACUUUAAAUAUCCUAAAUCAGUUUUAACGGUGUGGAUCGUUGAUUUGAUCACCCUAAGAUCGAAAACGAGACUAUAGUAACAGAGCCCCGGUACAAUAGAUAGUAUAGGAGACUAGCUCUAUAUAUAUAUAUAUAUGCACACA
rnacentral:lncRNA from 1 species